AUGUAUAUUACUUUCUUGUCAGUGGACGUAUGUCGCAGGAAAUGGAAGUCCCUCAGGGACAGGUACAUGAGGGAGAAAAGGAGGGAGAAAGAGGAGGGAAAAAGGAGCGGGUCAGCGGCAAGGACAGGGAAGAAAUGGAAGUUCUUUGCGGUCCUGUCCUUCCUCGACCCCUUUGUCACACCGAGGGAGACCAGCAGCAACCUUCCUUGGUGUGCAGAGAUGGAGGUAGAGAUAGAGGAUGACGGGGCUGCAGAGACUUCAGGGGUAGGAGAAGCAGACGAGGAGCGUGAUGAGGCAGCAGCAGCAGCAGGGCCAUCGCACAAUACAGAUCAGCUGUCAGGAAAUGAAUCGGACCCUGUCGAUGUUCCUGCUGCUGCUGCUACUGCUGCUACUCCUGCCCCUGUCCCUGCCGCUGGCCCUGGCCCUGGCCCUGCCCCAAGUCCACCGAGCGGGAGGAAGAGAGCAAGCGGGGUACCAUGUGGGAACACCCCGAUACAGGAGGCCAUCCUCCAGGCCCUGCAGAGGGAUGGAGAGUUGUGCGCAGACGCACAGUUUUUAAACGGCCUACUUCCUUCCCUGAAGAGAUUGCCACCAGACGCAAAGGAGUAUGUGAAAUUCCAAAUUCAGUCAUAUUUGACGCCACCCAAUUCACCCUUAAUUUGGAACCCGUCUAAUCAUGCUCCUGCUCAUUAGCAAGAGUGGUGGUGACAAUCUCUCCAGGGAAAGAACUGGGCUGCUGUGACAAAAAAGAAGCUGUUUGUGAGAAAGGUAGUUAGUUAGGUAAAUCCUUUCUCACAAACAGCUUCUUUUUUAGGAAGAUGUUAAUGUUCUUGUUCUUGUGUUCUGUUUUACAUUUAUAAUAUAUUGUUCUAUGUUGUUUUGUUAGUCG
rnacentral:lncRNA from 1 species